UACAGAGGGUGCAAGCGUUGUUCGGAAUCACUGGGCGUAAAGCGCGUGUAGGCGGCCUGCUAAGUCUGAUGUGAAAGCCCGGGGCUCACCCCCGGAAGUGCAUUGGAAACUAGCGGGCUGGAGUCCCGGAGAGGAGGGUGGAAUUCCUGGUGUAGCGGUGAAAUGCGUAGAUAUCAGGAGGAACACCGGUGGCGAAGGCGGCCCUCUGGACGGUGACUGACGCUGAGACGCGAAAGCGUGGGGAGCAAACAGG
rnacentral:rRNA from 1 species